UCAACGCCAUCUAUGAGUCAAUGGAAAAUCUUUCCAAUCAACUACUUGUACGCUAAUGGCGUAAUGUAUAAUUGGAAUUGAAUUAUUUCUGGAUUUACAAAGAAAAACAGCAAGACUUGCCGCAGCCAAAAGUAUAUCAACCGCUUUUAUAGCUUCGCAAAAGAAAGAAUCAUCAUCCUGGACAAUCAAGAACCAAUGGAUCAGAUUUUUUUCACCAAAACAUUUUUGUAUGCAUUGAAAAAGAAGUCAAAGUUACUUCUAUGAAAGAAUUACGAAACUUCUUAAUUUCUGUUAUCGUAUUUUGUUGGAGAUAGUUCUUGAUCGAUAAAAAAAGAGGCUAUACGCGAAGCGUGUGACGUACAGUAUGAAGAAAAGAAUUGUGAAGCUGUGACAGAUGAAUGUCCAAAAAAUAAUCUUUUAUUGGACCAAAUCUUUCUGUAAUAAUUGGAGCAUUUAAACCCGCAAAAAUUGUCGGUAUUCCCAGAGGUUUGAAAAAACUUGUUUCCUCAAAAAUGAAGAGUCUACGGUACACAGAACUUAUAUAUUAUAUUAUAUAGAAAUCCUUGGAAUGCGCCACUUCUGAGUCUAUUAAAAGUCUUUACAAUCAAUUACUUACCAUACAUGGCAGUAGUGUAAUAUAAAUUUGAAUGGAAUUAUUUCAGGACUUAGAAAGGUAUCAUAAUCGGAUAUAUGUGUAAUCGUCUUUAAUAUGAAUGGGUUUUUGAUAUAAUUGUACUUUGGACGGCUCAUGCUUCCUUAUCGAGUGCCUCUUUGUCAAGAGCUAACAAAGUUUCAUUUCAAUUUAAUCUCGAUAUCGUUCUUUGUUUUAUUUCAAUAAUCGAUUCGUUUACCCUUUCUCUUUCUCUCUCUCUCUCUAUAUAUAUAUAUAGUAUAUAAUACAUAACAGAAAUGAGUAACUAAGGGUUUAUAAAAAAACAUUAUCAUAUACGUAUUCAUCUGCGUAUCAAUGCAAAUACGACUUACAUCUUGCAUCGAAAAAUGACAAUAGUCGACUAUAACUAUUGAAUUUCUUAAUCAGUGGUAUCACAUCUUACGUUGAUACAUUUGUGAAGAGCUUUGUUAUCUACGGCCAGUUGAAAGGCAUUUUAAUUAUUAACCGAAGUAUAGAAAUCUUUUAUCAAAAGUCUUAACGUUAACGACAAACGAAUAAAAGAUUGUAUUAGAGUUUAAUUCGAUAUCUUCCAUUGUAUCUUCCAAUAUAAUAAUGUAAAGUUUAUUAACAAGAAGUAGAAUCAUAUAUCUAAUUAAAAAUAAACAACUAAUAGAUUUCGUUCCAUUACACAAAUGUAUAUACAUACAUUUAUGCGUACACAUUAAAAGUAUUGCUAAUAAAAAAUCAAUGGAAUUAUAGAAAACAUUUCAUUGUAAAUUGAUGCCGAAAAUAACAAAUACCCUUCAAUAAUGUGUAAUUUUUUCUUUUUCUAUUAAGUAUUAAUUUCUUUUUAAUCAAUUUAAACAUUUUUAGUUCAUAAUGAAUUGUAUCAAUAACAAUAUCAGAUAUGUAAUUUUGGCUCCUUGCAGCACAAAGGUUGCUCGUUACAGUCUAUACAAUAUAAUAAAUCUCAAGCAAUACCCAAGAGAAAGACUGUGUGUGUGUAUGUGCGUGUGGGUGUGUAUAUUAUCUAUCUAGUUAUGUACAUAUGUACAUAUAUACAUAUGUAUCUAUUUACAAACGUAUGUUUAUAUAAGAUCUUUCAAGUUUCCACCUCGGUGGUUGCCGAAAGACUGAUCUCAUACGAUAUUCGACAGAAAGUAAAUAACAUAAGGUGUACUUAGAUAUUUCAGCUUAGAUAGAAACAUAUAAGCAUUGUAAUAAGAUUUGCUUUGUAUACGUCAGCUAGUAAAUGGUAUAAACAUUCUCUUUUUCUUUCAGUGUA